GCCGUCGUUGUAUAAUGGUUAUUACGUUGCUUUCCGGCGUCACAUGAUGUGCUAGGCAAAGAUUGUGGGUUCGAGUCCCAUCGACGGUU